rnacentral:tRNA from 1 species
GGGGGCGUAGCUCAGAUGGUAGAGCGCUCGCUUAGCAUGCGAGAGGUCCCGGGAUCGAUGCCCGGCGCCUCCA